GACGAACGCUGGCGGCGUGCCUAAUACAUGCAAGUAGAACGCUGAAGAGAGGAGCUUGCUCUUCUUGGAUGAGUUGCGAACGGGUGAGUAACGCGUAGGUAACCUGCCUUGUAGCGGGGGAUAACUAUUGGAAACGAUAGCUAAUACCGCAUAACAAUGGAUGACACAUGUCAUUUAUUUGAAAGGGGCAAUUGCUCCACUACAAGAUGGACCUGCGUUGUAUUAGCUAGUAGGUGAGGUAAUGGCUCACCUAGGCGACGAUACAUAGCCGACCUGAGAGGGUGAUCGGCCACACUGGGACUGAGACACGGCCCAGACUCCUACGGGAGGCAGCAGUAGGGAAUCUUCGGCAAUGGGGGCAACCCUGACCGAGCAACGCCGCGUGAGUGAAGAAGGUUUUCGGAUCGUAAAGCUCUGUUGUAAGUCAAGAACGGGUGUGAGAGUGGAAAGUUCACACUAUGACGGUAGCUUACCAGAAAGGGACGGCUAACUACGUGCCAGCAGCCGCGGUAAUACGUAGGUCCCGAGCGUUGUCCGGAUUUAUUGGGCGUAAAGCGAGCGCAGGCGGUUUGAUAAGUCUGAAGUUAAAGGCUGUGGCUCAACCAUAGUUCGCUUUGGAAACUGUCAAACUUGAGUGCAGAAGGGGAGAGUGGAAUUCCAUGUGUAGCGGUGAAAUGCGUAGAUAUAUGGAGGAACACCGGUGGCGAAAGCGGCUCUCUGGUCUGUAACUGACGCUGAGGCUCGAAAGCGUGGGGAGCGAACAGGAUUAGAUACCCUGGUAGUCCACGCCGUAAACGAUGAGUGCUAGGUGUUGGAUCCUUUCCGGGAUUCAGUGCCGCAGCUAACGCAUUAAGCACUCCGCCUGGGGAGUACGACCGCAAGGUUGAAACUCAAAGGAAUUGACGGGGGCCCGCACAAGCGGUGGAGCAUGUGGUUUAAUUCGGAGCAACGCGAAGAACCUUACCAGGUCUUGACAUCCCGAUGCUAUUUCUAGAGAUAGAAAGUUACUUCGGUACAUCGGUGACAGGUGGUGCAUGGUUGUCGUCAGCUCGUGUCGUGAGAUGUUGGGUUAAGUCCCGCAACGAGCGCAACCCCUAUUGUUAGUUGCCAUCAUUCAGUUGGGCACUCUAGCGAGACUGCCGGUAAUAAACCGGAGGAAGGUGGGGAUGACGUCAAAUCAUCAUGCCCCUUAUGACCUGGGCUACACACGUGCUACAAUGGUUGGUACAACGAGUUGCGAGUCGGUGACGGCGAGCUAAUCUCUUAAAGCCAAUCUCAGUUCGGAUUGUAGGCUGCAACUCGCCUACAUGAAGUCGGAAUCGCUAGUAAUCGCGGAUCAGCACGCCGCGGUGAAUACGUUCCCGGGCCUUGUACACACCGCCCGUCACACCACGAGAGUUUGUAACACCCGAAGUCGGUGAGGUAACCUUUUGGAGCCAGCCGCCUAAGGUGGGACAGAUGAUUGGGGUG
rnacentral:rRNA from 1 species